GGCUGUGAGGGUGAUCUGACUGCGACAUCUGUCACCCCAUUGAUCGCCAGGGUUGAUUUGACUGAUCUGGCUGGUUAGGCGGGUGUCCCCUUCCUCCCUCACCGCUCCAUGUGCAUCCCUCCUGAAGCUGCAUGCUUGGUCAAAGAGGACGACCAUCCCCAAUAGAAGAGGACUGGCCUUCGGUCAAGGGUGUAUGAGUAGUUGCGCUCCCCUGCUAGAACCUCCAAACAAGCUCUCAAGAAAAAAAAAUAUGGUAAGCUGAUUUUGCAAAAUAGUUACCGUUUCUUUCACACACACACACACAGAAGAA
rnacentral:snRNA from 1 species